UACGGGAGGCAGCAGUGGGGAAUUUUGGACAAUGGGCGAAAGCCUGAUCCAGCCAUGCCGCGUGCAGGAUGAAGGCCUUCGGGUUGUAAACUGCUUUUGUACGGAACGAAAAGCCUCUUUCUAAUAAAGAGGGGUCAUGACGGUACCGUAAGAAUAAGCACCGGCUAACUACGUGCCAGCAGCCGCGGUAAUACGUAGGGUGCAAGCGUUAAUCGGAAUUACUGGGCGUAAAGCGUGCGCAGGCGGUUUUUGUAAGACAGAGGUGAAAUCCCCGGGCUCAACCUGGGAACUGCCUUUGUGACUGCAAGGCUGGAGUGCGGCAGAGGGGGAUGGAAUUCCGCGUGUAGCAGUGAAAUGCGUAGAUAUGCGGAGGAACACCGAUGGCGAAGGCAAUCCCCUGGGCCUGCACUGACGCUCAUGCACGAAAGCGUGGGGAGCAAACGAGGAUUAGAUACC
rnacentral:rRNA from 1 species